rnacentral:rRNA from 1 species
GACGAACGCUGGCGGCGUGCUUAACACAUGCAAGUCGAACGGUGAAGCGCCUUCCUUUUUGGUGGGUGUGGAUGAGCGGCGAACGGGUGAGUAACACGUGAGUAACCUGCCCCCUUCUUCUGGACAACCGCAUGAAAGUGUGGCUAAUACGGGAUAUUCUGGGUCUGUCGCAUGAUGGGUCUGGGAAAGAUAUUGUUUCGGUGGGGGAUGGGCUCGCGGCCUAUCAGUUGGUUGGUGGGGUGAUGGCCUACCAAGGCGGUGACGGGUGGCCGGCGUGGGAGGGUGGCCGGCCACGCAGGGAGUGAGGCACGGGCCAGACUCCGACGGGAGGCAGCGGGGGGCAAUAGUGAACGAUGGGAGCCAGCCUGAUGCAGCGACGCCGCGUGAGGAAUGGUGGCCUUCGGGUUGUGAACCUCUUUCGCCAGUGAAGCGGGCCUGCCUCGUUUGUGGGUGGGUUGACGGUAGCUGGAUAAGAAGCGCCGGCUAACUACGUG